rnacentral:lncRNA from 1 species
AGUAUGUUAGAACUUAAUUCUACUUCUAACAACUCUAAGUUUAUCCAAAGCCAUUAUUAAAUGCAAAAGGAACAUUAUUUCUACAUUUAUAAGCUAGAUGUCAGAAUUGGGUUGCUAGAAAAAAAUCCGUUUCCAGACAACUUUUUUUUUUUCUCUCAAGUUAGGCUGCUCCUGGUUCAUGUUGCUAUAACCCUACAUUUGCUUUUUAAAAAGCUCAAAAUUUGGAAAGUUUUCUUGAUCAUUAUAUUACCUAUGAGUUGACCAGUACCUAAUAGUUCCAUGUUUCUAUUUCAAUUAUGUAGCAAUCAAAUUGAUUCUUCCAUUUAGGAAGAAGCUUAUACUGUAAGGUAGGUCUCUCUGGCAAAACUCCUCCUGAGACCCUGUUUUUGUCUUUUGUGUUUAACCUGUGCCUGUAAUAUGUACAGACCUUUAAGUUAUUUCAUGCAGCAUUACAUUAAAUGAUAUUAUCAGCCUCUUCAUAGAACAGGCAAAGCAAGGUGGAGCAGGGCAAAGAUCCUAGACUUUUGGUUUAUCAGCCCAUAUAGUUUCAAAAGGAAUAUGGGAAUCAACAUACACACACUCCUAUACAUAAACUAGACAACCAACAAGGACCUAUGGUAUAGCACAGGGAAACUCUAUUCAAUGUUCUGUAAUAAUCUACAUGGGAAAGAACCUGAAAAAGAAUGAGGAUACGUACACGUAAAACUGAAUCACUUUGCUAUGCACCUGACACUACCACAACAUUGUAAGGUAACUACACUCCAAUAAAAAAAAAGAAAUAAGGCGAGACAAAAUGAUGGUGCAUUAGUGAGAGCUUAGAGAAAUACAACCAAUAGGGUGUGUAUGUCUAUAAUUUAUUGUACAUAAAAAUACAUAUAAUAAAAUUUAUAUUAUGUAUAAUUAACAUUAUAUACAAUAAAUAUGCAAUUUAUUAUAAGGAGUUGGCUUAUAUUUAAUUAUGAAGGCUGAUACAUUCCCAAAUCUUCAGUCAGAAACCUGGACACCCAGGAGAGCUGAUGAUGGAGUUCCAGUCUGAGGGCCAGCAGGUUCAACUCUACCAGUCCCAAGAUCUGCAGCUGGCAAGAUGUAGACCCAGAAAGAGCCAGGGUUUCAGUUCAAGUCCAAAGGCAGGAAACAAAGACAAUGUCCUAGCUCAAAGGCAGUGAGACAGCAGGAGCUUCCUCUUCAUCAGCGUUUUGUUCUAUCCAGGCUUUCAAUUGAUUGGAUGAGGUCCACUCACGUUACGGAAGACAACCUGCUUUACUCUGUGUAUGGAUUUAGAUACGAAUCUUGUCCAAAAUACCGUCAUGAAAACACCCAGAAUAAUGUUUGACUAAAUAUCUGGGUACCCUGUGGCACAGUCAAGUUGACACAUCAAAUAAUUUAUUUUAGUAAGUGAGGACAUGGCGAUUAUCAUUACUUCAUAAAAGAGGAAGAAUAUUCAUGACUUUACAAAUGACUUUAUAGAAGAUCUAAACAGACAUUUCUCCAAAGAAGACAUACGGAUAUCCAAAAGGCACAUGAAAACAUGCUCAACAUGAUUAAUUAUUAGAGAAAUGCAAAUCAAAACUGCAAUGAGGUAUCACCACAUACCGUCAGAAUGGCCAUCAUCAAAAAGUCUACAACCAAUAAAUGCUGGAGAGGAUGUUUAGAAAGGGAACCUUCCCCUGCUGCUGGUGGAAAUGUAAACUGGGACAAACACUAUGGAGAACAGUAUGGAGGUUCCUCAGAAGACUAAAAAUAGAACUACAAUAUGACCCAGCAAUCCCACUCCUGGGCAUCCAUCCAAAGAAAACCAUAAUUCAAAAAGAUAUAUGCACACCCAUGUUCACUGCAGCACUAUUUACAACAGCCAAGACAUGGAAGCAACCUAAAUGUCCAUCGACAGAGGAUUGGAUAAAGAGGAUGUGGUACAUACAAGCAAUGGAAUACUACUCAACCAUAAAAGUAGAAUGAAAUAAUGCAAUUUGCAGCAACAUGGAUGGACCAAGAGAUUAUCAAGUGAAGUCAGACAGAGAAAGACAAAUAAAUACCAUGUUACUUACAUGUGGAAUCUAAAACAAAAUGAUACAAAUGAACUUAUUUAUAAAACAGAAAUAGACUCAUAGACUUUGAAAACAAACUUAUAGUUACCAAAGGGGAAGGGCUGCAGGGAGGGAUGGAGAGGGGAUGUAGGACUGGCAUAUGUACACUACUCCAUAUGGAAUGGACAGUCAACAGGGACCUGCUGGAAAGCUAGGUCUUUACUCAAUAUUCUGUGAUAACCUAUAUGAGAAUGUUUAUGUGUACAUGUAUAACUGAAUCACUUUCUCAUACAGUAGAAAUUAGCAUAUCGUAAAUGAACUCUACUUCAAUAAAAUUUUUAAAAAAGAAAUAAAUGAAAAAAUAAUACCAAAAAAAAGAGAAAAAACCCCAAAAAACUCUGCCAGAAUGAAAUGAGUCAGAAAAUUGAGGUUUGGAGGCUACAGGGAGAGAAUCUGCAAGGGGGUGAAACAUUGAGGGGGGGGUCUCUGCGAAAAGCUGAUGUGACAAAGACCCGCUGUUCUGCUGGCGAGAGUGUGAACGGGGGUAGUGACAUGGAGACGGCAGCCUACCGGGUCCUUCUGUCCCUUUGAGUUUUUCUUUUCUCUUAUGACAAAGGCUGACGGAGGCAAGAUUAAGAACCAGUUGUCCAAUAUGCCAUGUGAUUCUAGAUGUUCACCCUAAGCAGAUCUGUGAAAUGACAGAAAUAAGGCAACCUGUCAAGAGCUUAAACCUCAGAGAUCUGGCAAAAUGUGGUGGGGACAGAAGAUUUGGAAGACAUCCCAUGCCUACCAGGUGGCUCUAGUUAUUCUCCAGUCGUAAGAAACUCAUGCAUUUCUUUCAUUUUCAGAAGGAAAAAAAAAAAAAAAGACGACGCUUAUUUAAAAAUAAAGCAACAUAAAAGAAACGAGCAAAUUAAAUCUCUUGCAAAAUAACUGUGAAGAAGGGAAAAAGGAGCAUAACUAGGCUAUUGUAACGGUGAGUGCUUUUUAGGUACUGCACGUAUGCGAAAGUUUCCUGUGAGAUGUUUUGAAAGCAGCAGCCACUUUUCAAAUGAAGGGAAGUUCGUGCUCUGCCCCACCCAGGCUGCCAGAAUUAAGAGAGGCACUGCUAGAGGGGUUAAAACCGGGCAUGGGAGAGGAGUCCAGGAACAGACUGACUAACUACAAGGCCAACUGCAGGCGGAGUCAUUUCCAUUUAAAUUAAAGGUGUUUAAAUGCCAUUUUUCAGGUGCUAACCUGGCUGGCUUAGGGAACCCGGAAGUGUCCACAUAAUAAGCUAAUUUCAUUACUCUUAACGUCCGAGGAUCCUGAACCUCAUCUUCAAUGAAAUUGGGUGUAGCAGUCCCUCAGGAUGCCUUUGAAUUUGAAUUAAAUUCAGGAUGCCAUGAAUUUAUCGCAGUUGGUUGAGUGUGUUUGCAAAAGAAAGGAUCACAGCUUUGUCAUUCAAUGUGUUCUUCCGUCGUCACUGGGCUCUGAUGGAAUCUCACUGUAGCAUUUCAGCAUAGAAUAUAUUUUAUACACGGGGCUCAAUCAAAUCUAACGUAAAGGUUGUACUUUUAAUACAGGUGAGUGCACUAACAUCUCUAACUUCACAGUCUUGCGCUAUUUCUUAGCCAAUAAAAUUAUGAUUGACUCCCCCUGUGAUUAUAGAUGCUGGACUAAUGGUUUCUUUAUACUUGUGAUCUUUAAUCCAUGUUCCUUGAAGAGCUAUUUUUACAUCAAGUGCUCUCUUGUUGAAGAAUUUUAGGCGUAAGAACUGAAUAUUGUUCAUUAUAUAAGGGUAUAGAAUUUACACAGCUCUAAAUGAGUAAAAACGUAUGCUCAUUUAAGAAAUAUGGUGGAUAUCAUUAUUUUGUUUUUCUCCAAAUUCUUCUUUCUGCUGCCUAAAGCAGGGCUGCUUCUUUUGGAAGGUGCACAUCUAACAUGGGGUCUGAACGAAAGCUGCGAUCUCCCUUUGGCCAUAACCCCCCUGUGUCUGCUGUAAUUUUUACAAAAGUGAGAACCUGACCUGGGCUGUGUGGAUACUAGCACCUUGGCUCCUGGUCAUGAAGACUGGCCUGAGCCAGGGCUAUGGGGAAGAGGGAGGGGAUGGCUGAAUCCCAAGCUACUUCCCUGGGAUUUUCCUCGGAACUGAAGCUGGAGAAGAGCUCUUUCCUUUCCAGUGGGAAAGCUGGAACUCGGAGCCAUGAGUUACCGGGAGACACUAACAGAGCCCAGGAUCUCUCAGCUUCAGCAAUCUCGGUAUUUUGGGUCACACGGUUCUUUGUUGUGAGGGGCCACCCUGGUCAUUAUAAGACGUUGAGCAGCAUCCCUGAUCUCUAUCAAUUAGAGGUCGGAAUGACCUUCCUCCUGCCAUACUGUGGCUUCAAAAAAUAUCUGCAGACUCUGUUAAAUGGCCCUUACUUAGUUGAGAACCACAGAAUGAGCCUCAUGUAAAGGCAGGAUUAGGAGCAAGUGAGGCCCACUCACUGGAGCAAAGUAGGAAAUAAAUGUCUGUUCAGAACCAGUUUUGCCCAAAUACACCUUUUUCCCUUUUUGUUAUAUCAGCCCAUCGUUUCCCAUUUUUUUAAAGUAGUUUUUUUUUUUUUUUUUUUUUUGGUCAGGUGGAAUAAAAAUUAUUGAACUAAGAAAAAGAUGGGAGCACUGGGCCAAAGGCAAUUAAAAAUCAAUUAAUAGUAGGCAGAGAUUCCACCUGUGAGU